rnacentral:rRNA from 1 species
CAGUAGCCGCGGUAAUACGGAGGGUGCGAGCGUUAAUCGGAUUUACUGGGCGUAAAGCGUGCGUAGGCGGCUUUUUAAGUCGGAUGUGAAAUCCCUGAGCUUAACUUAGGAAUUGCAUUCGAUACUGGGUAGCUAGAGUAUGGGAGAGGAUGGUAGAAUUCCAGGUGUAGCAGUGAAAUGCGUAGAGAUCUGGAGGAAUACCGAUGGCGAAGGCAGCCAUCUGGCCUAAUACUGACGCUGAGGUACGAAAGCAUGGGGAGCAAACAGGAUUAGAUACCCCGGUAGUCCCUGUCUCUUAUAC